rnacentral:misc_RNA from 1 species
GUGAAUCAUCGAAUCUUUGAACGCAUAUUGCGCUUUCUGGUAUUCCGGAGAGCAUGCCUGUUUGAGGGUAAUUAAAAGAAAUCUUUAUUCGCUUUUGAGAUUUAGGAAUAUGGGUUUUCCACGUUUAAUUUCGUGGUAAUCUGAAAUUAAUUGUAGUCUUCAUUUAUUCGAGAUGCGUAAUACUAUUAUUUAGUGAAACGAUUAAUGAUUGAUCUAGUUUUAAUUACCAUGGUAAGACUCUUGAAACAAAUAAUUUUAGACUUAAUUU